UACGUAGGUGGCAACCGUUGUUCGGAUUCAUUGGGCGUAAAGGGUGCGUAGGCGGUCGCGCAAGUCGGAUGUGAAAUCUCGGGGCUCAACCCCGAAACUGCAUUCGAUACUGCGUGGCUCGAGUACUGGAGAGGAGACUGGAAUUUACGGUGUAGCAGUGAAAUGCGUAGAUAUCGUAAGGAAGACCAGUGGCGAAGGCGAGUCUCUGGACAGUUACUGACGCUGAGGCACGAAGGCCAGGGGAGCAAACGGG
rnacentral:rRNA from 1 species